CUGACACAGGCAGGGCAGGCACAGCCCAAGGACCUUGCAGGCCGUAGCAGCAGUGGAGCGGCCCUCUGCCUUCAGGACCCUGCGCUGAUAAUGGGAUGAGGAGAUACAGACCCUUCCCACCACAUGUGGGGACACAUUCUGAGCAUGGGGUCCCAGUGGCCACUGUGGCUGGCCAUGUGUCCUGAGUGGCAAGGGACACUAGGAGGUUCCCGGAAGGGACACUAGGAGGACGAGCGCUGAGUGACAGGGCCACCCACCCGUGACAGGCGCUGCCCCUGCUUUGUGCUGGUCUCCUGUGUGGGCAGGUGUGGGGGUUGGUCUAGCUAAGUCCACCCCACCUGCUGCCUCACAUGAGCCCCCUCUGCCCCAGUGAGGUGUUCUGCCGGGAUAGAAAGGUGCUUUGGGAGGGGGAGAGACUGAUCCUGCUGCGGCUGGCUGACACCUAUGAGACGCUGGCCAUUGAGGGUGCCCAGGCCUUCUACAACGGCAGCCUCAUGGCCCAGAUUGUGAAGGACAUCCAGGCGGCUGGUAAUUUUUGUCACUGUUUCAUGGAGGAGGGUGAUUAGCGUGUCAACCUUUACCACUGAGGCUGGAAAUUGGCAUGCCAAUACCCUGUCUGUCUGGAGCUGACUCCAGGAGAAUUAAGAGCCUCCCUCCCUCCCUCUAUCCAUUCAUCGUGAGGAGAAGAGGCCAAGCAGCAGGGACACCGGCAGGAAUUCUCCAGUUAGAAAAGGCCCUCUGAGCCAGGUGCGGUGGCUCACGUCUGUAAUCCCAGCACUUUGGGAGGCCGAGGUGGGUGGAUCACCUGAGGUCAGGAGUUCAAGACCAGCCUGGCCAACAUGGUGAAACCCUGUCUCUACUAAAAAUGCAAAAUUAGUCAGGCAUGGUGGGUUGUGCCUGUAAUCCCAGCUACUUGGGAGGCUGUGGCAGGAGAAUCGCUAGAACCUGGGGGGCUGAGGUUGCAGUGAGCCGAGAUUGCACCACUGCACUCCACAGAGUGAGACUCCAUCUCAAAAAAAAAAAAGAGAGAAAAGGCCCUCUGAGGCCAAGCUUGGUGUCUCAUGCCUGUAAUCCCAACACUUUGGGAGGCUGAGGUAGAAGUUGAGGCCAGGAGGUCCAAGACAAGCCUGGGCAACAUAGUGAGUCUACAAAAAAAAUAUUGAGAAUCUGCAUAAAUAUAGUGGGGGUGGGGGUGGGGAACAAGAAAACAAAAAAUUCAAAGCAUAGUGAAAAGAAAUAUAGCAAAACCCAGCCGGGCAUGGUGGCUCACGCCUGUAAUCCCAGCACUUUGAGAGGCCGAGGCAUGUGGAUACGGGGUCAGGAGAUUGAAACCAUCCUGGCUAACACAGUGAAACCUGUCUCUACUAAAAAUACAAAAAAAUUAGCCAGGUGUGGUGGCGGGUGCCUGCAUUCCCAGCUACUUGGGAGGCUGAGGCAGGAGAAUGGCGUGAACCUGGGAAGCGGAGCUUGCAGUGAGCCAAU
rnacentral:lncRNA from 10 species